rnacentral:rRNA from 1 species
AGCGAACGCUGGCGGCGUGCUUAACACAUGCAAGUCGAGGGAGAACGGCGGGCUUCGGCCUUCCUAGUAAACCGGCGCACGGGUGAGUAACACGUAGGUAACCUACCUCCGAGUUCGGGAUAACCUGUCGAAAGAUAGGCUAAUACCGGAUAAGACCACGAUGGCUUCGGCCACUGCGGUCAAAGAUGGCCUCUAUUUAUACGCUAUCGCUUGGGGAUGGGCCUGCGCACCAUUAGCUAGUUGGUGAGGUAACGGCUCACCAAGGCUACGAUGGUUAGUUGGUCUGAGAGGAUGACCAGCCACACUGGGACUGAGACACGGCCCAGACUCCUACGGGAGGCAGCAGUGGGGAAUAUUGCGCAAUGGGGGAAACCCUGACGCAGCGACGCCGCGUGGGUGAUGAAGGCCUUCGGUCGUAAGCCUGUCGGAGGGGAAGAAGGACUCUCGUGCAAUAGUUCGAGGGUUUGGUACGGUACCCGUUACGAGGAAGCACCGGCUAACUCC